rnacentral:sRNA from 1 species
CAGCAGGGUAUCUAGGGUUCCGCCUCUUUUCUCCUCCCGGAGGGACUGGUCCAAGAGAUGCCACCGACGGGGCAAAUUCCCUGCCGGGACACGGCGGGGCAAAAUCCCGGGAGAG